UUUCCGUAGGUGAACCUGCGGAAGGAUCAUUAUUGUAUAACCGAGGUGCGAGGGCUGUCGCUGACCCGAAAGGUCGUGCACGCCCGAGUGCCCUCACACACAUCUAUCUCACCCCUGUGUGCACCACCGCGUGGGUCCCCCUUUGGCUUGUUCGGAGGGGGGCUUACGUUUUCACACAAACUUUGUAUGCAGUGUAGAAUGUAUUUUUUGUUUUUGCGAUCACGCAAUCAAUACAACUUUCAACAACGGAUCUCUUGGCUCUC
rnacentral:misc_RNA from 1 species